rnacentral:rRNA from 1 species
GAUGAACGCUGGCGGCGUGCCUAAUACAUGCCAGUCGAGCGAACAGACGAGGAGCUUGCUCCUCUGACGUUAGCGGCGGACGGGUGAGUAACACGUGGAUAACCUACCUAUAAGACUGGGAUAACUUCGGGAAACCGGAGCUAAUACCGGAUAAUAUAUUGAACCGCAUGGUUCAAUAGUGAAAGACGGUUUUGCUGUCACUUAUAGAUGGAUCUGCGCCGCAUUAGCUAGUUGGUAAGGUAACGGCUUACCAAGGCGACGAUGCGUAGCCGACCUGAGAGGGUGAUCGGCCACACUGGAACUGAGACACGGUCCAGACUCCUACGGGAGGCAGCAGUAGGGAAUCUUCCGCAAUGGGCGAAAGCCUGACGGAGCAACGCCGCGUGAGUGAUGAAGGUCUUCGGAUCGUAAAACUCUGUUAUUAGGGAAGAACAAAUGUGUAAGUAACUAUGCACGUCUUGACGGUACCUAAUCAGAAAGCCACGGCUAACUACGUG